GAGAGGGGUGGAUUAAGGAAUGGGCGUAGUCAGCGCCCUGGGGGGCGGGGCCUGGUGCAGGAGACGUAGGCUGCGUUUUCAAAAGAGGAGCGUCGGAGACCCCAGUAGGCUGAGGUGGCUUCUGAUUGGUGGAGCGCGAAGGUGGUGGGUCACGUGGGUAGUGGGCGGGGGAAUUUCCGGAAGGGGGAGAGGGGAGUGUUGUGUUGUGGGCUGGCGGGGCUGAGCUUGGCCCUAGUAGGGCACGUGGCCUAGGGAUGGGUACUUGAGCCCAGCCAGAAACUUGAAAGCAGGGUUUGUGCUUGAGUUACCUGCAGACUGCGAAACCAGUGUCCUGUUUUUAGCUAGGUGUUGCAGCGCCUCAGAAUCAACCCGGCCUUCUUACACUGUACAAGCUCCUGGGUUUGUUCAUUAGUUGAUACCUUCUGGAGGAUCCAGAGCCCACUAAUGUUAAAACCCGGUUUUUGUUUGUGCCGAAAUAAAACAAAUGCCUAAUAUACUACAAUAUUGUGUUAAACAUACGACCAUUUCCAAGAACAGUAUAGAUCAUUAAAACCAAAAGCACUGUGAAAUUAAGUUUGCUGUAGGUUUGGAGACAUUUUUCUAUUUGUUCGGGGACUCUUAUCCUAUAGUCGAAAUGUCCAAUUCGACUGCUUUUGGCUUCUAAUUCAGUAUGAAUCCUACAUCUACCUUGCAUACUUGCUCAUUUGCUGUUUCCAACGCCCCUGGGAAAUCUGAGAUUCUCCCAGUUUUGGAUCUUCCCAUUUUGAGUGAACUGUUGUUGGGAUUAGCACCUACAAUUGAAAUUGGUGGCCCAUGACCUUAAUCCCAGCAUUUGGGAAGCAGAGGCAGGUGGAUUUCUGAGUUCGAGGCCAGCCUGGUCUACAGAGUGAGUUCCAGGACAGCCAGGGCUACACAGAGAAACCCUGUCUUGAACACCCUUCACACACCCCCGCCCUCCAAAAGGGAAAACUUGAUAAAGCUUGUUUAUUUAUGGUUGAAUUGACCCUAAAUUAUUUGUAAUGACUAAGCUUAGAGAGUUAAGCUAAAAAUAAAAUAUCAAGAAUGGGUUAAGUAAAACAAGGAAGGGCUCUGAUGAAUAUAGUGAGUGAUGCAUAGUUGUUUAUAACUAGUAUGCUAAUUGAUUGCCAUUUCCAUAAUUAUCAGGAUAUAAAACCUUUUUCUAUUGGCUGUCCUAUCAUAUGGCUCUAUUUCUUAUUACAAUAUACAUUUUAAGCCAUUGGCUUUAAUCUAAGCUCUGCCACUUUAUCAGCUUUCCCGAAAGAACUGCAUGUUCUCUCUCAUGAGAAAAAGCCAAUAGUAUUUGUAAUAUGCAGUCAAAGAUGCAUGUGGGUAUGGAGAAAGAAGCAACCCUGGAUAUAAGAAUAUCAGGAAGGACUGACUUGACUGCAGGUAAUGCACACAGUUAUGAAGGAGGAUUUAAAAAUCUUAUUUUUAGUUAUAAUGCUGUCAUGGAUCUUGUUUUGGUUUUUUUGUUUUGUUUUGUUUUUUGUUUUGUUGCUUUUGGUGGUGAAUAAGUGCGUGAAUAGUAAAAGUGUAAAAUUGUAAUGUGACACUCCACAGCUUCCUUUCUAAAUGCCAUGUUCCAGGUGUUUCAGAAGUUCAUGGAGUCUUAUGAAGGUGAUGCUUUAUUUGCAAGUUUUUUAAAAAAUAACAAAAACUAUUCUACAUUGAAAGGUUUAGCCUUAUGAAAAUCAGUGCAUUGCCCUAAUCUUUCUCGUUUUUCCAUGAACUUGGGAAACCACCCAAAGCCAGAAUAGAGGAAUUAACUACCUUAUGACCUAUUGCUAUUCACUUGCAAAACUAUAUAGCUAUUUUCAUUUGUUUUACAAACACAGAUUUCCAUGUUUGUGUUACUUAAGCAAAAUUUAAAUGCAUUUAAAAGAAUCACUAUCAACUGUUUGGAUUUUAACCACCAAAAAACUACCAAAAAAUGCUUCAAAAUUAAUCUCAUUGAGAAAUUUGCUGAUUUGUCCAUUCAUUUGUUUAAUCAAAUAUUUACUAAAUUGCUAGUAUAGAUGUGAAGUACUAGAAUAAAUGAAUGAGUUGAGACCCACCAUCAUAGAACAUAAAAGUCCUUUUCUAUAUCACAAAAUUAGGAACCACAGUCCCAAGUUGAACUAAGCAAUAAUUUUCUGUGUGCUUCACCUCAGAAAUCAGAGAUUUGUUUUCUUUCUUAGGGAAGCAGCAUCCUCAAAAAUAUAUAUGAAAAGACCUCUAUGUCAGUAGACUAUUCUUUGCCCCAUGGUGGUCCCUCACUUCCAAUGAAGAUGACCUUUCAGAUAAUUAUCUUUUGUGCAAGCAGCCACCUUCCUAGCAGAGCAAGCACAGUGCAAUGAAAACACACUAGAUCUUGCAUGCCUGACAGUUAUUAUUCCUACUCUUGCUGACAGUGUCCUGACACAGGGAAACAGUGGCCUCAGUUCCAUUAUCCAGAGGAGGACAUGCAGUCAGGCAGGUCAGGUCAGGCAGCUGGGUGAGCCAGCCCCUCAUCUAAGUCCCAGACUGUAAAAAGCACCAUAAGGUAUGAAGAGCCUAUGAAAGGGAAUAGCAGCCACUUCUUGGCCAUGAGUCUCUAGGUAUCCAGGAAACCAAGCCAUUGUAAUCACUGCUGCAGACUCACGUGUUUGAUUGUAAAGAUAGUAGUUAUUAAAUCAGCUUACAGCCUAGCAAUUCAAUUAGAAUUUUAUGGUUUUGAAUGGACCAAGACCAUGAGAAGGGAAGUUCUAUGCUUUUCAGAUUAGAAAGACAAAUAGAGAGUCCCAACUCCUUCAUGACGGAGCUAGUUCUUACUUCUUUGUCUCCUUAUAACUAUUUCAGGUCAAAAGUUGUUCAGAUGCCUGGUAACUGUGUGUUUACAUCAAAUUGUAAGAUGCCAUGUAAUCAGAGGGAAAUCAGAAUAAACUGACAAAUUAGCAAACCAACCACUAAAAAUUGACUAUAAAGACUUUACUGUCUACCUUUUCUUUUUAUGUCCUGAGACAAGAAGUAUGACACCUAUGAGAGGACAAAAUAAAGUUAGCAGUUUGAACUAAAGAAAAAUCCACAUACCUAAUCACUUCAUAAAAACACAUCCCCUUCUCCAUCAUACUUUCAUGCUAAAUAUAAUCUGGUGGACAAUUCUAGAAACUUCAUCAUUGACGUAGACAGUGUUCUGUUUAUUCCACCAAGUGAAUCUUUUGUGAAUAAAACAUAAACACACACACACACACACACACACAUAUAUAUAUAUAUAUAUAUAUAUAUAUCUUGGCAGAAUAUAAAUUCUCAGUUAUUGGCAUUGCACCCAUAUGUUUUUUUAAUUACUUAUUAGCCAUAAUGUGUGUGUGUGUGUGUGAAGAUCAAAGUAGGACUGAGUGACACAGUUCUUUCCUUCACCUUCAUGUGGAUUCUGGGGUUUGAACUCAGGUUAGCAGGUUUGUAGUGCAUGCUCUUUUACCUGUUGGGCCAUCAUGCUAACUUCCUCAUUAUUUUAUUUCCAAGGAAAAUAAUUUCCUCUUACCGAUAACAUUGUAACAGUAAAAUUGCAAGAAGCCUCCAGGGGACAAUUAUGAAUGUUCACUGCUUGCAUUCAUGACAGCGAAAGUAUAUGUUGAGAUUUAUAACUCAUCAGCUCAUUCUUUGUAAUGCAAUUUUGUACUUGAGAUAUAGCAUGGUGCCAGAGAGCCAUAAAAGCAAAUAGUCUACAUUUUAUUCUACAUUUAGUAAUUGUAUAAACUAGCCCCCAACAAGGGUAAUAAAAUAGCAUUGUUCUUAAAUGUCUUCAGUAAGCUCUUGUUUUCAUUGUCCAAAGUGAAACUGUAUGCUUAAUUCUUCUAUCUAAAGCUGGUAGAAAGCAUAAUGCAAGUGAAUUAAAGCAGCACUGGUAGAAAGAAUUAACACUACCUAACUAAAAAGUAUCAAAACCAACAGAGCCACACCUGGCCCCCAGGUGGUAUAAUGAAAUAAUUCCUAGAAAAGUUGACUAUGCCACCACAUUCUGGAGCCAGUCAUUCUUUAAGGAUCCACCCACCAAGUGGGCAGUCUGAGAUGGUUGUAACACGGACAUCUUGUUAAAAUGAAUCUGACAACUUUACAUUUAACUGAGCUACAAACAAAUAAGCAAACAAACAAAAAAAAGAGCAAACCCAAACCAGAAUUUUUAUGUGUAAGUGUGUUAGGAGUGCUACCUCUCCGUGGUUGGAAUUCUCAUGAGAAGUGCCUACCCUACGUAAACCUUCAGGUUUCUUAGAACAGCUACUACAGAUCCUUGAAUUUUUAAGGUUAAAUUAAUUAUGACAGUGAAGAAAGUAGUGUUUGUUCUUGGGGAGAAAGCAUGCUUCUUAUUAGCUUCCUAAUCUUUUGUUUUAAGGGGAAUUUCUGACUGGAGGUGGUCUUAGUGGAUAAGCAGUUGUCACUUUCAACCAUGUUAGCCAAAGUGGCUUGACUGAUCCUUCAGUGUGAGGAUGUGCACAGGUGAUAUAGAUAAGCAGAUCCACUGGAAAACCUUUGAGUGGAUGACUGAAGGACACAAGGUAGUAGAACAAUCAGGGACAUUGGCAGUAAAUAACCUAGGCUCUGCAUGCUGGUUGACUUUCACUGUCAUUUUCUCCUCAACUUCUGGGUUCUCAUAAUUGUACAGCAAGUGCUCUUACCUAAUGAGCCACCUCUCCAGCACCCUGAAGCAAUUCUCAUCUCUAGUAUGAAGAAGAUAGCUCAUCUUAUAAUUGGGCCCAGACCAACUUAUCUUCCUUCCUUCCUUCCUUCCUUCCUUCCUUCCUUCCUUCCUUCCUUUUGUUUGAGCAACUUACUCAACACUGUUUUGGAUGAAUUUACACAGCUGCCACUAUAGUAGUGACAUAUAGAAGUAGUAUGGAGAAUUAACCAGCCAACUGUCCUAUAUAUCAAUAAUGGAUGUUUCUGUGAACACAGAGAAAAUUAGCAAUUAUUAUAUGAUUAUCUGACAGCAAGAGUAGAUGAGUAACCAGAUUAAAUACAUUAAAUGAGAUGAUUGGUAACUAUGAAUAUUGUCCAUAGUAUAUCUGAAUCAGCUAAAUUGCCUUCUAUAACAAGACAGAAAACCCAACUCUAUAAGAACAAUCAGAUCAUUAUCUUACAUAACAGGAAGCCUAGAGUCAGCUUCCCAUCCAGAUACAGUAUGUUUAGGUUCUAGCCCAAGUUUUUGACAGUUUUGGGAGCCCUACACUCCUCCACUGGCUAGUGGCAAGGCAUCUGUAGCCACAAUAUGUAUCAUUGUCUCAUUUACUUGAAGCUAUAGCAGUGAUUCUCAAACCUGUGGGUCAUGAUGCUUUGAGGUUGCAUAUCAGAUAUUUACAUGAGGAUCCAUAACAAUAGCAAAAUUACAGUUAUAAAUUAGCAAUGAAAUAAUUUUAUGGUUAUAGGUCAACAAAACACAAGGAAUUGUAUUAAGGUGUUGCAGCUUUAGGAAAAUUGAGAACCACUGGACAAGAGGAAGACUUACUCUUACAGGUGCUGUGAACAGAGAAUGGUUCCCAGAGGCAGAUUCUGAGAUAAUCUGCUAUAACUCAUUGGCCAAGACUAGGUUACAUGCCUAGUUCUCUCUCACUAGAUGGCAGGGGAAAUAAAUGCCUGCCUAAUUCCAGUUACUGAGGGAAGAAUAGGUCCUACAAGUAGACCACUAUCAGGUGUUAGCACAGAUUUAGUUAUACUUAUCUCCUUUGAAGAGAUGAUAAAUGGCAACUAAUGCAUUGAAGAUUUACUAAGAAGGUGUGUGUCUGUGUGUGUCUGUGUCUAUGUGUAUUAAAUUGAGAAAAUAACUCAUGAAAACUCAGGCCCAACUACACUGUAAGAGCUCUUAUAUACAAAUGCUAAGACCAAAGGGAAAAGCAUAAUCACAUGGAGAUGACAGAGGUGCAUGCUUUUACAGACAACUGUAAAAACCCCUCUGGGCUUCUCUUUCAGAGGCAUUUAGCAAAAUCUUAUUCCCAGUUUCCUUUUGUCAUAUGGCUUAUGGACUAGGAUAGCCAGAGCCAAAUGGAAGCACAGUGGUUGGCCCACAAUGUAAUUUGAAAGAUGAGGAGGCCUCUUUGCCUACUUCUUCGGUUUAAAAAUCAAUUUAUUUUAAACAACUAACAAACUAAAGCAAGCAAACAAACAACAGCCUUGCAGCAAGGUUAAUAAAGCCACACAAAGAAGCCCAGACCCAAAGUCAAUACAUCUCAAUUAACUUAUUUACAGUUACAAUAGCUACUCUGAAAUAUUUCAACUUGACUGAUUCACACAUGUGUGCCAGUUACUCCAAAAGCACUCAAAUGCUUGAGGCCACCCUACUGUUAUGUUCUCCAACGACAUGAAGAGGUGGCUAUAAUCAGGAAACUGUCCUUUGGAAAUGUGUUAGUAUUCUAGGUCAGUUCUAAUCGUUGAUGUGCUUCAGCUGGCCCGUUAGAGUGCCCUUCAACAUCAGAAUUUUAAUCUCUUCAUUUCCCUCUCCCUCUCUGUCUCUCUCUGUCUCCCCCUCCUCCCUCCCUCCCCCUUCCCCACACACACAAGGGGAGGGGUUUCGUGUGCACCUAUGUUUGUCUGAGUACAACCUUAGCUACCAGUCCUCAUUUUUCACCUGUGUGAGUCAUGGUCUUGUUGGCUACUAGAUAUGCCAGACUUAGCAGUCUGCUGGCUUCUAGGGUUCCCUGUCUCCAUUCCCUAUAUUCCAGUAGGAUCCUUGGGGUUACAGAUGCAUAUUACCUUGAUUGAAUUUACAUGGGUUUCAGGAAUCUGAACUCAGGUCCUCAUGCUUGUGUGGUAAGCAUGAUGCCCACUGAACCAUCUCCCAGCCCAACAUUGUAUUUUAAAGUCAUUCUAAUAAAUGUUGUAGCCAAUAUAUUUUUGAAUUACUAACUCCAAAAUACAAAAAUAAGUACAUAAUUUUGCCUGUUAUAUUUAUCUUUAAAGGAAGAAUAAAGAACCAUAAAUAAGUUAUAAAAUAUUUUUAACUAACACAAGCCAAGAACAAAACCUUAACUUCUAAUAUUGUUAGGCACUGGGUUGUAGAAGGGAGACAUUUGAAUGGAGAUCUUUUAGAGUCUCUAGGGCAGUUUCUCCACCCUUAUUACAAGUCACACACACACACACACACACACACACACACACACAGAGAGAGAGAGAGAGACACUCCAUUAUCACUAGGAUCCCAAAGUUCCUAGAAAGUCUCUGACUAAGACUAUCCACUCACCAGGGCAUUUAUUUAACACAGUUUUAUUCUUGUUUAUUCCCAAAUGGAUUUGCUUUAGGAUUUCUUAACAUAACAAAUUAACAAUGUAGUUCCACUGUAAUUUGAUAUGGUAGAACUUGGUACAUAUCCUUUCUCAGGUAUCAACCAGACCAUAAACAGAGCUACCCUGAUGCUAUGCAUGGUGUGUCUAAAAGUGUAAUAUUAGUUCAAGCUUUGAAAUGUGCUCAAAUUAUGCAUGUUCCUCUACUAGAAAAUAUACAAAAUUCUGAAACAAAUAUAUAUUGUGUCAUGUGGGUGAACAUGCUAUAACUCUGGUAAUUCUCAGACGUUUUCUUGAAGCUGAGUUCUAAGCUCACAGCGUCUCUUUGUUUUUAGCUUCAACAGUGGCUGGUUUACAUCAUAUAAACCACCCUAAAAAGACAGGAAGGGGGAAAUUGAACAUUUAAAAAACGAAUGGCAAAUUUCCGAGAUAUUUUCUUCAAUUAUAAAUGCCUAACCUUUAUCACAGUCAGUAGCAGGUUUAUUGUGAGCA